AGAGUUUGAUCAUGGCUCAGGAUGAACGCUGGCGGCGUGCCUAAUACAUGCAAGUCGAACGAAGCACCUCGGUGCUUAGUGGCGAACGGGUGAGUAACACGUGGGUAACCUGCCCUCAAGACGAGGAUAACCGUUGGAAACGAUGGCUAAGACUGGAUAGGAAUACGGGAGGCAUCUUCUGUAUUUUAAAAGACCUGGCAACAGGUAUGCUUGAGGAGGGGCCUGCGGCGCAUUAGUUAGUUGGUGAGGUGAUGGCUCACCAAGACGAUGAUGCGUAGCCGGACUGAGAGGUUGAACGGCCACAUUGGGACUGAGAGACGGCCCAAACUCCUACGGGAGGCAGCAGUAGGGAAUUUUCGGCAAUGGGGGAAACCCUGACCGAGCAACGCCGCGUGAACGACGAAGUACUUCGGUAUGUAAAGUUCUUUUAAGAGGGAAGAAUGGCCCGUGGAAAAGCGGGCGUGACGGUACCUUUUGAAUAAGCCCCGGCUAACUAUGUGCCAGCAGCCGCGGUAAUACAUAGGGGGCAAGCGUUAUCCGGAAUUAUUGGGCGUAAAGGGUGCGUAGGUGGCCAUUUAAGUCUUUGGUGUAAGUUCAGCGCUCAACGCUGUGAUGCUAAAGAAACUGGGUGGCUUGAGUGUGGUAGAGGCAAGUGGAAUUCCAUGUGUAGCGGUAAAAUGCGUAAAUAUAUGGAGGAACACCGGUGGCGAAGGCGGCUUGCUGGGCUACAACUGACACUGAAGCACGAAAGCGUGGGGAGCAAACAGGAUUAGAUACCCUGGUAGUCCAUGCCGUAAACGAUGAGUACUAAGUGUAG
rnacentral:rRNA from 1 species